AGAGUUUGAUCAUGGCUCAGAACGAACGCUGGCGGCAUGGAUUAGGCAUGCAAGUUGAACGAACUCCUUUGGGAGUGAGUAGCGAAAGGGUGAGGAACGCGUGAGUAAUCUGCCCAUAAGUUGGGAACAACAGUUGGAAACGACUGCUAAUACCGAAUGUGGCUAUUGACCCGCAUGGGUUUUUGGCUAAAGAUUUAUCGCUUAUGGAUGAGCUCGCGUCCCAUUAGCUAGUUGGUGAGGUAACGGCCCACCAAGGCUACGAUGGGGUAGCUGGUCUGAGAGGAUGGUCAGCCACACUGGGACUGAGACACUGCCCAGACUCCUACGGGAGGCA
rnacentral:rRNA from 1 species